rfam:Pyronema omphalodes CBS 100304, CBS100304, WGS project CATG01000000 data, contig: Pcon_v1_contig574
UCCUCGGUAGUAUAGUGGUUAGUAUUUCCGCCUGUCACUACCUGAUAGUUCGCGGGAGACCGGGGUUCAAUUCCCCGCCGAGGAG